CCUGGCUUAGGAUGAACGCUAGCGACAGGCCUAACACAUGCAAGUCGAGGGGGCAGCACAAGGAGCAAUCUGAGGUGGCGACCGGCGCACGGUGAGUAACACGUAUGCAACCUGCCUGUAAGCGGGAAUAACCGUGAAAGACGGACUUAAUACCGCAUAAUACUAAAUUACUGCAUGGUAAUUUAUUUUAAACAUUUUAUGGCUUACAGAUGGGCAUGCGCAUGAUUAGCUAGUUGGAGAGGUAACGGCUCCCCAAGGGCAACGAUCAUUAGGGGUUCUGAGAGGAAGGUCCCCCCACACUGGUACUGAGACACGGACCAGACUCCUACGGGAGGCAGCAGUGAGGAAUAUUGGUCAAUGGACGAGGAGUCUGAACCAGCCAAGUCGCGUGCAGGAAGAAUGUUCCCUAUGGAUUGUAAACUGCUUUUGCAGGGGAAUAAAGUGCAUCACGUGUGAUGUUUUGUAUGUACUCUGCGAAUAAGGAUCGGCUAACUCCGUGCCAGCAGCCGC
rnacentral:rRNA from 1 species